CAGGGUAUAGCUCAGUGGUAGAGUGUGUGCUUAGCAUGCAUGAGGUCCUGGGUUCAAUCCCCAGCACCUCAA
rnacentral:tRNA from 1 species